CAGCUACAAUCGCGAGCCUGACCUACUCCUGCCUGUUCAAGCUCAGAGUCAGACCAUCACAUGGACCAGUGAUUUCCAGCACGGAGUCAUCCCGAGAUGAGUUUUCUCUCAGUUCAGCUGCAGUCCAGUUCUGUUUGACAAGAGGUGGUUAACCCAGUACCCAAGUUUCUGAACCUCAGAUCCAGAAGGCAAUAUCCCCAGAGGCUGAUGGGAACUGGACUUUCCAGCAGAAGUGUGAUCAGACCAAAUGACCAGAGACGACAGAGCCCUGGUCCCACCAUCCACAGAAGACAGUUGACAUGUCCCAAGGGGAUCUGACCACUUACUACCCACAAUGAUGAAAGCCCUUUUCACAACUGUAAAUAAAUACUGAGACAUGGAUGUUAAAAUGAACAUUAAUAUUUAUAUUUUAAAAAACCUUACAUACAUAACUUCAAACUGGUGGCAUUUGACAAAGUAUACUGAAUUGUAUUUUGGUUUUUUUAACUGAAUUGCACUGUAUUUGAAAUAAAAUAAAAUACACUUUUAAAAAGUGCAUACAUUCCUUUUAUUACAAUUUGUCAAAAUACUUAACUACACUGUAUUUUUCUGAGGUACACUUUUAAAGAAAGAGAAAAGAGCUUGUAAACAAAGUGCAAACAUGGUACAGGCUCCAGCCAUGCAAGGUGAUCAAAUGGCAACCCCGGCUGAUGAUGGAGGACUCCAUGCAGAACAGACUUGCAAGGAGGGUCUCACAGGGAUCCAGGGAGGAUUUCCUACCACACAAAAUAUAUUUAAUUAAAUUACAACAUGUAUGAUUUUGGAGGAAGUAGCCAGCAUGUGUAGUAGCCUAUUUUAUGGAAGGGAUACAUGCAUUUCUGUACUGUAAAGUGUCAUGAAAAGCACUACAAAUUGUUCUCAUCACAAUUAUAAUUACGGUAAUAA